rnacentral:rRNA from 1 species
GAUGAACGCUGGCGGCGUGCUUAACACAUGCAAGUCGAGCGAACAGACGAGGAGCUUGCGCCUCUGACGUUAGCGGCGGACGGGUGAGUAACAUGGGGAUAACCUACCUAUAAGACUGGGAUUACUUCGGGAAACCGGGGCGAAUACCGGAAAAUAUAUUGCACCCCAUGGGUGAAUAGUGAAAGAUGGUUUUGUUGUUAAUUAUAGAUGGAUCCGGGCCGCUUUAGCUAGUCGGUAAGGUAACGGUUUACCAACGCAACGAUACGUAGCCGACAUGAGAGGUUGAUCGACCACACUGGAACUGAAUCACGGUCCAAGCUCCGACGGGAGGACGCGGUAGAGACCUUUGCGCGGUGGGCGGAAGCCUAACGGAGCAAUGCCCCGUGAGUGACGAGGGUCUUCGGGUCUUGAAACUGUGUUCUUAGGGAUGAUGAACUGCGUUUGUAGCUGUAGACAUCUUGACGGUACCUGAUCAGUAAGCCUCGGCUAACUACGUG